GCUCCAGAUCAUAACAGAGCAUAAAAGUAACAUGGGCUCAUCCCAACGGCUCAGUUGCAACUCGUGCAGUCAAUUGAAAUAGUUCACGCUGUGUCUUCCGACCACAUCACGCCCUAAGAGGCCUUGCGCCUCCAGGGCCACUACGGAGGUGGUGAGGCAGGUAGCUGCUGCUGUAGCUCGUCCAAGAACAAGAAGAAGAGCGGCAGCUGCUGUUGUGGCUGCAGCCGUGGUGCUUGCGGCCAGAAGAGCGGGAGAAAGAGGGGUCACCACCACCAGUCGGCAUACCGGCAGCGCAGAAAGUGACCCAAAUCCUCUCAGAGAAAGAGGCAGUCGAUCUAGAGAGGACUCCAGCUCACUGGGUGACAACUCCAGUACUACCGUCUUGGUCACGAGCGAAGAACCGAACGCUGACGGCAUCGUUAAGAGCCUUGCAGCAACUGCAGACCUCGUCCAGAGGGUCACGUUAGACAAGCAAGAUGAACACCACGACAUUGCCAGCGAAGACGACGAGGAAGAGAUGACUUUCAUGAAAGAUCUCGUGGUUCUCUGAGCGUUGUUUACUAUCUAGGGGAAGCGGACGAUUGUCAUCAGUCAUGGCGCCAUCAAUCCAUCAGUAGUUGUGACGUUUUGAUUUUUCAGUUGCAAGGGCUCGAGCUGAGCUCUAUGUGUUCGUGAGGUCAUCAUUAAUGAGCAAGGAAGCGAUAACAGCUUGUUACUAGAUCCGUAAUUCAUCAACCUCUUGAAAUUAGUAUUUCCUAGAAGUGCAUUUUCCAAAUUGUAAGUUAACUCGACACGCUGGCUGACGUUCUAUUCCCCAUUAUUUUACCACCGAAUAUUCAGGUAAAACGAAGUUUACAAUACCACGCACUUAAGAAAAACUUAUUGAUUGAAAAUAAAAGGCACAACAAUACUCACAAAACUACCAGGACAGCCUUCAUUACAGUGCACAAAUGUACAAAUCUACACCGUUCCAUUCUCCUCCUUAGAAUCAGACGAAUAGUGAACUGUUGCCUUGGGUGCCAUUUCGGUGAUGAUGAAGGGUUUCUUAUCACUAAUUCGUCCAGAAAAGCAUUUUAACUGACUAAAAUACCCAUAUAUUUAACGAUGUCAAACUGUUCUGAAUGUGUUGAUCCUUAUAGAAUGCUUUAAAUAUUCCCCAUAUUAUCAAUGUUUUAAACUUACAAUCAGCAGUAUGAAAAUUUGAGUGGUUCUCGAAACCCUUCAUUAUCAUUGCGUUACUCUGAAAUUAUAUUAUUUUUGUAGCACAGGUUUUGUUUUCAGUAGCAGACAUGCAUGUUGAUUUCUUUACUUUUAUUUUACAGUAUGGACCUUUUUUGGUUUUGUAUUCAUACAUUUACAUUUAUUGUAUAUUUUGCUCAUUUUUCCAGCAAGUUUUAUUUUAUUUUAUUUCUUUUAGAAAGAGUGGAUAUUCCGUAAUUAUCAAGUUUGGGUAAAUAAGACUUAAAGAACCCUUAUUUGAAAAAAAUAUAUAUAUUUUCUUAUCUACUGAGAUCACACUUAUUCGUCCAGACGUAUCGAUAUCCCAAAUUCUGCUUUGGAAUUGUAACAAAUAACUCAGCUUCUCUGAAGUAACUCGGGCAAUAACGCGCCAAAGUCCCCAGCUCUCGCACAUAUCACUGGAACUUUCGAAAGUUUUUAAAAGUAUUUUAAGGUCUUUUGUAAUUAUUUAUUUAUCUUCUAUUGAUUUAUCCGUCUAUUUGGAUGGGUGUAAUUAUCUCAAGGCGAUGUAACCCUAUCUUAGUGAUGUAGUUACAUUUCCUGAUAUAAACAUGACAACAUUUCUCGAGCGGACGUGACCUUCGCCAAAAAUGACUACUUAUUGAAUUCACUUAAAUUGAUUUUUUCUUUUUUUCAUUAUCAAGAGUUAGUUUGACUAUUAUAGUGUAAUCGAGGCAUUGCAAUAAGUUAAUCUGUGGGAAAACAUAAUUAACGUUUCCUACCUGUUGAAUGUUGUAUUUAAAUAAAGUUUUUCAUGAA